UACGUAGGGAGCAAGCGUUGUCCGGAAUCAUUGGGCGUAAAGCGCGCGUAGGCGGCCUUGUAAGUCCGUUGUGAAAGUCAAAGGCUCAACCUUUGAAAGCCGAUGGAUACUGCGAGGCUAGAGUCCGGAAGAGGCGAGUGGAAUUCCUGGUGUAGCGGUGGAAUGCGCAGAUAUCAGGAGGAACACCAAUAGCGAAGGCAGCUCGCUGGGACGGUACUGACGCUAAGGCGCGAAAGCGUGGGGAGCAAACAGG
rnacentral:rRNA from 1 species